rnacentral:rRNA from 1 species
GACGAACGCUGGCGGCGUGCUUAACACAUGCAAGUCGAACGGAAAGGCCCUGCUUUUGUGGGGUGCUCGAGUGGCGAACGGGUGAGUAACACGUGAGUAACCUGCCCUUGACUUUGGGAUAACUUCAGGAAACUGGGGCUAAUACCGGAUAGGAGCUCCUGCUGCAUGGUGGGGGUUGGAAAGUUUCGGCGGUUGGGGAUGGACUCGCGGCCUAUCAGCUUGUUGGUGGGGUAGUGGCUUACCAAGGCUUUGACGGGUAGCCGGCCUGAGAGGGUGACCGGCCACAUUGGGACAGAGAUACGGCCCAGACUCCUACGGGAGGCAGCAGUGGGGAAUAUUGCACAAUGGGCGGAAGCCUGAUGCAGCAACGCCGCGUGCGGGAUGACGGCCUUCGGGUUGUAAACCGCUUUCGCCUGUGACGAAGCGUGAGUGACGGUAAUGGGUAAAGAAGCACCGGCUAACUACGUGCCAGCAGCCGCGGUGAUACGUAGGGUGCGAGCGUUGUCCGGAUUUAUUGGGCGUAAAGGGCUCGUAGGUGGUUGAUCGCGUCGGAAGUGUAAUCUUGGGGCUUAACCCUGAGCGUGCUUUCGAUACGGGUUGACUUGAGGAAGGUAGGGGAGAAUGGAAUUCCUGGUGGAGCGGUGGAAUGCGCAGAUAUCAGGAGGAACACCAGUGGCGAAGGCGGUUCUCUGGGCCUUUCCUGACGCUGAGGAGCGAAAGCGUGGGGAGCGAACAGGCUUAGAUACCCUGGUAGUCCACGCUGUAAACGGUGGGUACUAGGUGUGGGGUCCAUUCCACGGGUUCCGUGCCGUAGCUAACGCUUUAAGUACCCCGCCUGGGGAGUACGGCCGCAAGGCUAAAACUCAAAGGAAUUGACGGGGCCCCGCACAAGCGGCGGAGCAUGCGGAUUAAUUCGAUGCAACGCGUAGAACCUUACCUGGGUUUGACAUGGGUCGGGAGUGCUCAGAGAUGGGUGUGCCUCUUUUGGGGUCGGUUCACAGGUGGUGCAUGGCUGUCGUCAGCUCGUGUCGUGAGAUGUUGGGUUAAGUCCCGCAACGAGCGCAACCCUUGUUCACUGUUGCCAGCACGUUAUGGUGGGGACUCAGUGGAGACCGCCGGGGUCAACUCGGAGGAAGGUGGGGAUGACGUCAAGUCAUCAUGCCCCUUAUGUCCAGGGCUUCACGCAUGCUACAAUGGCUGGUACAGAGAGUGGCGAGCCUGUGAGGGUGAGCGAAUCUCGGAAAGCCGGUCUCAGUUCGGAUUGGGGUCUGCAACUCGACCUCAUGAAGUCGGAGUCGCUAGUAAUCGCAGAUCAGCAACGCUGCGGUGAAUACGUUCCCGGGGCU